GUGUCAGAUAGUCAGAGUUACAUUAAGAAGUUAAAAUAAUUGUCUCAGAAGUACUGAAGACAAGACUUCCUUUUGGUACUAUCUACAAAUGUUAAGGGAUACUUAUGAAAGCAACACACAUACAAGUUGGCAAUAAUUGCAGCUAUGUCUCACUGUGUUCAUCUCAAAAUCCUAAACACAUAGCAAAAGUAAGCGUGUUUUAUCAUUUUUAGCACUUUUUGGAAUGAUAAAUUUCUUCUUGAUGAAAGAAAAAUUGUGCUUAGCUGCAUGACCUUAUAUGCAUUACAACUCUAGCGGUAUUUUAAUUUGCACAUUAUGCAAAUGAAAGAACAAUCAUAAGGAUGAUACAUAUUAGCCCUUUGGCAAUAUAAAUUGAAACCUUAGACCGUUAAUUAUACAAGUAACUCAGGUUCCACAUGCUAACGAUCAGCUGCAGAUAAAGGGAACCCACAUUUGUUAUCUCCUUAGCAGCAUCCAAGUUAUUUUGGAGCCUAUUGAUCAGUUCCGUUGCGAUGGCUUCUGUGCAGCAUCCAGCUACCUGCCCCUGUUGCUUAAGAAAAACAAGGUUUGGAUGGAGGCCAACAACCCACUGAACAGAUCCAGCAGCCCUCUGGCACCCUAACAAGCUGUCCCAAACCCACACCCCUUCCGGCAACAGCUCUGGAGCUCACCUAAGUUUUAUGCAAGCUUAUUCAGCUUGCUAUUCCAGUAUAACAAUUACUCACUUGUACACCCAUCUGGUUUAGGAAGGGUAAGAACCUGUGAAAGGGAGCUGGUGGGAUGGAAGGAUUCUCUUCCUUUUGAGUCGUUGCUCAACUUUACCAAAACCUUUUCACAUUCUUAGUAUUCUUUUCAGCUAAAAUUGAACUAGGAAUCAGAAGGCACACCACCGCUGCUUGAGUUCAACCUGAAUGGAAGUUGCAAUAAUUCUAAGAAAAAGGAGCACAGAAAUACAGCCCCAAAUUACAAACUCAGCUUGCCUGAGGAACCUGAAGAGACAUUACUCUGCCUUUUUUUUUUUUUUUUUUAACAAAAAAGCUUAAGUUCUUUCAAAAGGCUCUGAUAGUACAGUAGUAACUAAUAGUUGUAAUACAGGCCUCACUGGCUCAAAACAUUUUUGUAAAGUCAGCAUUCAGCUGCAUGUUACAACAUGGCAGCAAAUACUGUAUACUUUUCUCAACAAAAAGCUUCAACCUCUUAGAGAGCAAACAGCACAAGUUAAAACAGUUUCUCUUUUUAUGCAAGUCAGCUUAGCCAUUGGAUAAACCACAUCACACAUAUAUAUAUACACACACACAAAUAUAUAUAUAUGGUAUCUUUUAAAUAAGAUGAGAAAUCCUUGUUUCCACUUAAAUUUUGAGUCCUUCACCCACUUUCAGCUUGUUUUCUGGACUUCUGCUGUCAAAUCAAAGUUCCUAGCAGAAGAGUACCGGGAAUGCUGAAUGUUUCCCCAUGUGCUCAGCCCCGGCUGGCCUCCACCAAUCGACCUGCCCACGAGCCCUGACCCCACAUCCACACCACAGGCAAGUGGGUGGCCUGGGUGCAGUCCCAGCACUUGUUGCCUCCUUCCAGCUAGCAGGGGGCUUACAGGAGGCAGCACACAGGACAGCGGACAAGCAGCACGGGAUCACCAGCAUCUUCACAGUGAAGCUGCAUGGGAGGAAGAAUCAUGGGGAAUCAAACUUGGUCAGGGCUACCAUUCUACAAAAGCUGGAAACAGAGUUAUUGCUUGACUCCUGCUUGGGCUAAUGUUCUUCACUAAUUGGUCAGGAAUUUUCAGCUAACACAAUGCAUGCAGCACCUGACGGAGCUACAGUCCAGCAGGAAGGAGACUCUGCCCAGCUACCCCAUUUGCACAGACAGCAGCCCACACAGCUCUCAAAACUAAAGAAUCGGCUAUUACAGAGCUCUCCUCAGAUUUUUCCUCAUUUACAUGUCCGUAAGUCAUCUCUUUAGCCUCUUGCAUUCCAUAAUCUAACAUUAACAUUUCCCCUAUCAGCCCAGAAAUACAAAAGCUUUCCAUCUUGCAUUACAGUUGAAUGUUCGUCCAUUAAGUAAAAUAUCUAAUGAACGCUUCUUUCACCAGUCAGACAACUGUCUCUGACACUCUUAGGACCUCAAUACCACUGCAUGAGUUACCCCCAGUUUUAUUCCUAUGAAACUGGGAUUUCUGCUGCACUGACUGGCACAUACGCCUGAAUACAAAUUCAAAUGGUACAUCAUACCUUUUAUUAUCAAAAAAUGCCCAAUCAAGUUUCAUGUAUUCUAUUUUUACUACACAGAUAACAGUAGCAGUCCAGUUGAAGAAGAAAGAAGUUGAAAAAAUCUUCCAGGGUUGCUUAAAUACUGUGAAGAACAAGUAUGAGACUACAUUAAAGCCACUUCUCUUUCCCUGAAACAUUCCAGUGACUAAAAUGGGUCACACUUAGAUUGAGCACUUACGAACAGCUGGUGGCUUCUGGCUUGCUUGUAUUUGUAUACUGACCAGGUUUAAAAAAACAUGCAAUGAUCCAUUUUAAAAGCUUUUCUGAGAUAAUUUGGAGUUUGCUGGCAAGUGAGUAAUAAGUACAUGCAGUUCACAUCAACUACCUCAUCAAUUAGCAUAAUAAAUCAAACCAGCAAUCCUCUAACUGAAUUCACUCUAUUAUGCAGGAAGCAAGAUGUUCCAGUUAGCAAAAUACUCCCUGAGAAGUACUGUCUUUUUAUACACGCAUAAUGCCCCAAAAGAGAGUCAUCUAGGUUUCCUGACUUCAGCUAAAAUCCUGUCUUUCAAUCGCAUUCAGCAUUACCACGGCAGGUGCCAGCUGUCAAUACUUGUGCCCCCACCUUGCUGGCACCAGAGGAUUAACGCACCUCCCUUCCCUCUUCCCACUUCUCUCCCUUCCCUCAUGGGCCAUGCACCUGUGCGUUCAACACAUCUCUAGCCCCAGGCAAGUCGUGCCCUUCUGGUCAGCUCCACCAUAUGCAAAUAGAGCUUCGCAAGAGGAGCCCCAUCCAUAAGCUAACACACCGUUAUACAUCUGAACGCUAUUAAAUGCUGCAGUUCCACAGCAGUGAGGUGCUUUCAAUGGUUAGCUAACGCAGGUUAAAAUCGAAGUCUCCUUCUGUAUUAGGAAAGCAAUGAAACAGAUGCAUUACCAACAGGGUACAGGACUAGCUUUCCACAACUUGCUUCUAUUUCUGCCUGCCUUCUCUUACUGAACUCCAACCUACGGAUUCACGUUGCAGCAGCUGAAUUGCCAUAGUAAGAUGAUCAAUGACUACGGAAGAGUUGUAAAUGCGAUAAGGCUCCAGCUAUAGGUUUUCUUGAUAUUUGGAGCAUAUCAGCAGCAUCGUCAAUUUUAACAAUUUCAUGUAAUACAAAGCUGCUACCCAUCACUGUCAACAUCGUGCGCAAACGGAUCAGAAGCUUGCCCAGAGACCCACAGAAGUCUUUCAACUCCAACCUCAAACAACAACCUAAAAUGAAUUUUCCAGAAGGAACAUAUUUUGAAGGAGAACUGAGAGCACUGUUACUCAGCAUUAUUCAUGAUACCAAAAAAAAAAAAAAAAAGACUUGAAAACCUGAAAUUAUGCAAAUACUUACAAGGUUUUGUUAUAAAUGCUUAAAAAAAAAAAAAGGAAAACCUCUACUACAUCACUGAUUUUAUAUUCACACAAGGAAAGGAACAUUAUUUUCCUUCAUUGCCACUAUAUACUAGGUUGUUUUUUUCCUAGCUGACACACGUACCCUUGGCAACACAGCCAGUAACACCUUCUAGCCAAAAACAGGGACCAUGCAAUUAGCAACAAAAUGGUUAGUAACCGCUUUAUCAGAAUUUUCACUAUCCAAUGCCCACAUCUAUUAUCGUUUUCCAAGCUGCUGUUCUUGUUCUAUUCCUAACAAUGAAGUUAUCCAAAUGAGAUGCACAUAGCCCAUCUCCUCUGAAGAACCUGAGAGCUGGCACCUUGAACAGCAGUGACAGCAGGUCACUGGCUCACAUCAUGGAACUCCUGUCUCUGACUUUCAACUACCGCUUCCUAGGCCCUAGUUGUGUUUUUUCCAAGAGCAUUCCACCUUUGCCUGAUCAUAAAAGCCCGCCAAUGCUACAGAUGAUCAUGAGCACUACGAAGACUGUAACGGCUUACUAUGACAGAAGCAUUAGUUAUCUCACCUUAACAUAUCAUUAAGCAUUUAGACACUAAAGCCUAACUCAUUCAUCACAUCAGGCUUAAAAAGAAGAGAACAAUAUUCAAAUCUAAGUAGAAAAUCAAAUGUCAGCUCAACUACUCCUUCAUACUCCUUCAAAACUUCUAAAGGCAGGGUUUUCAGGAGGUUUUGUUCCUUCCCUCCCUACAAUGGAUUUUGAAUUCUUUUCAUUGUUAUGACUAACAAUGGAAAUGUGAAAACAGCAAAGCCCCCAUUUUAACAGCCAAAAUCAGUCAGGAUCAUCUCCAGGGAUAGUCACUCACUACCUUUUUAGAACAUUUUAUAUCUCACUGAUAGUAUCGAGUCUCCAGUUAGGUCCAUCUACCCUUCAGGACAAGUGCUGUGAGGAGCUGAGCAUCUAUCCCGUGUCAGGAUAAUCCCACUGCAUUAAAAAUAGGCUUCCCAGAAGGCAGCCGCUUGGAGCUGAUAACUGAAACGCCUCUUUGUACCUAACUUACAAACUGAAUCAGUCUUGGUAUCAUCAGUUAUGCUGCUCAAGAGGAAAGCAUUAAGUGUGCAGAACAGAAGAUUGCAGCUGCAGCAGUGGAAGCCAUACGUACUAGGUGACACACACACACGAGGCUUUCAUCAUGCAGGUGUCUAAACUCCAGCAAAUGACCCAUGCCACAACUGCUUCAGCAUUUGCCAUGCUACACUUGUCAUUCCCUUGCCUUCCUUGCUGUCCUCACGCUCUAUUUUCCAUCAAUUCCAGUUUCUCAAUUCUUACUAUAUCUUUCCAAACACCCACGUACGAAUCUUGUCUCUCAAAUACUCUGCAAAGAAACCCAAGAAAGCCUCUUCCUUUCAAUUCGGAAAGGGUUGAACACUCUUGAAUGUGUUUUCCCCCUUUAUACUGUAAUCUCACCUCACAGGCAGAGGGGAAGGUAAUAAAACCAAAGGCUUGCUUCUUCAUAGUUCAAACAAAUUUAAGUCCAAUAUUAUGCAACAAUGCUUUCCAUACAAUCCAUAAGAAAAUUUAACUUCUGUAUCCCAUGCAGGCAGCUCAACGUUUUGAAAGCAAUACAGGUAAUUUAGCAGGGCAAGCUCAUAACCAGAAAUACUGCAGGUCACGACUGCUAUAGUUGGCACCGUCUUCACCGAGCUGGAGUGUUUGGAUAGCUGCCACAGAAAGGCUGACUAGACGACUGGAUCUUUGUCUCCGUGACAUUAAAAUGAUCAUAAAGCUUCAAACCACUUUAAGUAGGUUCACUGAAUGACUAAUUCUGGCUGUGACACUCUAGAAAACAGGGAAAAUGAGGGACCAUUUGGAGAUUUAUUUCAACUGUGUGCUUUAUCAAUCCAUACACAGCCUUCAACAUCUCUCUCCUUUUCCCCACAUCUCCGGUUUGGGUGUGUUUUCCUGAGUUCGGCUGGUAUCUCUGGGGAAAUUCACUGCUGGAUUAAAAACAGGAAAUCUUUCUUGGGUUACUGACCAAGUGAUGCAAAAAGCCUUCCUUCUGGUUCUCAAUUAGUUAACUCCGAUACACAAACAUUUGCAAAGUUAAGUGGGAUACAUUUAAAUGACUGCUGCCUUGGCAGCCAGUGGCAUGCUUUUAGCACAUUUCCCCUAGAGAACACAGUUGCUGUGAUACCUAAAAUACAGGCUUCCUGGCUUUUCUUCUGAGCAUGCUAAGUGAAGUAGUGAAAUAACAGAAAUUGCACAUUCUGGUUACAGGAUGCUAAAAUAUCCUGCAACAGUACCUAUCUUGCUGUGUCCUCCUGGUUCUGGUACUGAAAAAAGUAGAAUCAAAGUCAUCUGGGUUGGAAAAGACCUGCAAGAUCACCCCGUCCAUCCAUCAACCUGACCUAACACCUCCCACCACCAAACCACAUCCCUCAGUGCCACAUCCUCACGUCACUUAAAUACCGCCACGGAUGGCGAUUCCACAACUUCCCCAGGCAGCCCAUUCCAGUGCCUGACCUCCUUCUCCAUGAAGAAAUUCUUCCUAAUGCCCAACCUAAACCUCCUUGAUGCAACUUGUGGCCAUCACAUGGUGUCCUAUCACUUGUCGCCUGAGGGAAGAGACCAGGACCCUGACCCCAGGCUCACCAGUGCUGCAUACAAGGUGAUGAUCACUUCCCUAGCCCCACUGGCCACAUUACUUCUGAUGGAGGCCAGGAUGCCAUUGGCCUUCUUGGACACCUGGGCACACUGCUGGCCCACGUUUAGUUGUAGCUCUGAAGUACAGAUAUAGUGGUAUAAAUUCACAGAAGAAUUACUAACAGGAAGAACAUCAUCUGCAGUUUUAGCUUAAUAGAAACUGUAAACACUACCAAAUUCAAGUUAAGGAGAAUUUUCCUCCAGUUUUCAUAUUAAAUUAUGUCCAAUUGUUUUCAUCUAGGCUAUAAAUGGCCCUCAAUUCCCUCAAAAUGACACC